CCUACGGGAGGCAGCAGUGGGGGAUAUUGCACAAUGGGGGGAACCCUGAUGCAGCGACGCCGCGUGGGUGAAGAAGCGCCUCGGCGCGUAAAGCUCUGUCAGCAGGGAAGAAAAUGACGGUACCUGAAGAAGAAGCCCCGGCUAACUACGGGCCAGCAGCCGCGGUAAUACGGAGGGGGCAAGCGUUAUCCGGAUUUACUGGGUGGAAAGGGGGCGCAGACGGCGAUGCAAGCCAGGAGUGAAAGCCCGGGGCCCAACCCCGGGACUGCUCUUGGAACUGCGUGGCUGGAGUGCAGGAGGGGCAAGCGGAAUUCCUGGUGUAGCGGUGAAAUGCGUAGAUAUCAGGAGGAACACCGGUGGCGAAGGCGGCCUGCUGGACUGCAACUGACGUUGAGGCCCGAAAGCGUGGGGAGCAAACAGGAUUAGAUACCCUUGUAGUC
rnacentral:rRNA from 1 species